CACAUGACUCUCCGCAACCGAAAUCUCCGCUCUUGGAUCCAUUAAAGAAGCAACACGUGAAAUGCGAUACCUGGUGUGAAUUGCAGAAUCCCGUGAACCAUCGAGUUUUUGAACGCAAGUUGCGCCCGAGGCCUUUUGGUCGAGGGCACGUCUGCCUGGGCGUCACGU
rnacentral:rRNA from 1 species